UGAGGGCCUUGGACUAAGUGA
rnacentral:miRNA from 1 species